UGGGCGCAAGCCUGGAUGCACGCCAUGCCGCGUGUGUGAAGAAGGCCUUCGGGUUGUAAAGCACUUUCAGUCGUGAGGAAGGUAGUGUAGUUAAUAGCCUGCAUUAUUUGACGUUAGCGACAGAAGAMGCACCGGCUAACUCCGUG
rnacentral:rRNA from 1 species